GUUUGGUGUUUGUCAAAAGUUGUAAGUCAUAAUAUCUUAGUAACUCAAACUCAACAUAAUUUUACAUCACUGCCAUGUAUAUAUGUUAUAAUUGUAACAAGUAAUAUAAAGACAUUCAAGCAAAAUUAUCAACAUUACAAUCAACAAGUAUAAAUUUCAUGCAAUACCAUCAUAUUACAAUCACCUUCCAUCCUUUGCCUUGAAAGAAUAAUUCAUCAUUGUUGAUUCCGCCUCCAGACCCCAGUAGGAAGAGGGAAAUUGACUACUUGGUUACAGAAGCUAACCUCUGCAUAGCAUAAUAAAGGCAUCGCAUCUCUCAACUUGCUCCAGUCCAUCUUUAGGUGUGGCAACAACCUCAAACACAAACCCUCCAACUUCCAAGUCGUUUCACUUAAGCAAAUGUCGACCAGGCGUCCUUCCUCUAUGCAAAGAUAUUCUAAAUUAGGAAGCAUCUCAGGACUAACCCAUCUUGGCAAUUUUUCAUGAUUGUAAGCCCUAAGAUACAGCUUCUUAAGGUGAGGCGGAGGUAAAAGUGGAUCUAGCAUCUUUUGCAUUGUUGUACCUUCCAUCCCUUCAGAGUCAAAAUCAAUGGCUAAAAGCUUGAGUUUCUUGAGUUUUGACAGGACACCACAUUCCUUCUCUGUUAUUUCACUGUUAUUGCUCAAACUCAUUCGCAAUACUCUUAACUCGGUUAGGCCUUCAAGCUCAAGAAGUUGACAACUUCUUCUGUUUGCCUGACGAAUCAGUUUCAGUCCAGAUAUUUGUUGAAGCUGGGACAGCCUGCCUAGUCCACGAGGCAGGUAUGGAAGCAAUUGGCAAGAGCUUAAGUCCAAGACUACCAGACUCUUCAAAAAAGUGACUGAAGGUCUUAUUUUGUAUAGCUUAUGGCAUCCAAUUAAAACUAAGAGCUGGAGGUUCUGGAGUUUGCAAAUGGAAUCCGGCAAUUCUUCAAGGCCCUCGGCUCUACUUAGAUUUAGAUAUGCAAGGCGUUUGAGAGAACUCCAACUCAAGAGUCUAUUUAAAGUGAUUUUGUCGAACUUAUUGUCUGACAAGUCAAGUGCCCUGAGUGAGUGGAGUGAAACCAAAUUCAUGGGAGGUUGGCUGCCAGUCACCUGCAGCAAUGCUCUGAGCUUUGUAUUUCUGUUUAAUGAUUGCGCAUCCAUUUCGCUCGUGAAUCCUAACCAUGGAGAAUAUUCAUUUAAUUUUUGUAUGCCCUUGCUAUCAAAGGUGGAAAGUUUCUCCUCUUGUGCCAUCAUAAGGGUCAAGUCUCGCACCAGAUCAUGCAUUUUGCAUUUGUUGACUCUUCCAUCAAAGCCUCGCCUCUCCACAGCUUCAACUAGACAUCUGCUGACCAGUUGCGAUAAAUGCUCAAAGGCCAACUCCGUUGGAUUUUUGAUUUGAUGCCUUGGAUAAGACCAUCUCCAACCCACCAAUGGACUAGCUUCUGAGCUGGUAUCUCAAAGUCUUCAGGAAAAAUGGAGAAACAUAGUAGACAUUGCCUUAAAUGUGGUGGGAGUGCCUUAUAACUCAGUUGCAAAGAAGUCAUAACGACACAGUUUUCUUCCGUGAUGCUCGGGACUGAAAAUUUUUUGCAAAUUNNNNNNAUCAAGAGAAUCUGUCGAUCCAAGUGAGGCUCCUAUAGUCUUGAUUGCCAGAGGAUGUCCCUCACAUUUAUCCACGAUUUCCUUACCCAAUUUUUCAAAAUUUUCAAUAGGAACACUGUCCUCUUUUUUCCUGGAAAAUGCAUGCUUGGAGAACAAUAACCAGCUUUCACUUUUAUUAAGAACAUUGGGUUGAUGAAUUUUGUCAACUUCAAUAGCAGAUGCGACAUCUUUGUCUCUGGUCGUGAUAAUAAUGCAACUCCCCUUACAAGCAUAAUCCGGCAAUACAGAGAAAAAAUUCAUCCACCAUUUGAGACCUGUCUCCCACAUAUCAUCCAAAAUAAUCAGACAGGUCUUGGCUCUUAACAGUGAAAUAAUAAUUUGUAGCAUCUGACGAGGUUUUUCUAAUGAUUGCUUUGCAAUUUGUUCUCCUGAUUGUUGCAGGAUGCUCCUCAAGAUCUCCUCCACUAUAAAUCUCUGAGAAAUUGACACCCAAAUCCUCUUCUGGAAAUGCUGACAAACAUCAUUAUCAUUAAAAAUUUCCUUGGCAAUAGUGGUUUUCCCCAAGCCUCCCAUCCCCACAAUGCCAAUCUUUUGAAGCUUGUAAUCGGGGCAAAAAAU
rnacentral:misc_RNA from 1 species